rnacentral:lncRNA from 1 species
UAUUUUUUUUGUAUUGUAUAGGACCGGCAAUGGAGAAGAAGGCAUGUUGUAGGAAAGAUCCUGGAACAUGCAAACCCUUGCUCCGUGCCAGAGAUCUCCGCUAGACUUUGUGCCUUCUCCAGUUCCUUCUUGAGAGCCCAGCACUGCACAUCUCUGAAGUUACGUGAACAGGGCCACCAGAGCCACUAUAGUUCCAUUGACUUUCCACAUGCACCAGGAAGAGAGAGAGUGUCUCGAGCCUUUGUGCAGAGGGUGAGCAUCCUUUCUGUCUUUAAGCUGUAAGUUGAACACAGCCAAGAGUGAAGAGUAACAGAGUUGAAGCUAAAGCAAGCAUUUGGCCUAAAUACUCACAUAGUAUUAGUCUUAAUUUUUGUUAACAAACACGUUGUUGCAGUUAUUUUUGCUGUAGAGAUGCCUGCAGCUGGCACUGUAGACCAAAAAUGACCUUGUAUAUCCAGGCUCUGUAAGAGCUGAAGCUGUCACUGGAGUAUCACCUUCAUAGCACCAGCUGCUGCUGUACUAGAGGCUGUGCAGCACGCAACAGCCUUAAUCACACACAAGAAGGGCAGUACCUACUCUUUAGAAGCUGGUUUGCAGCAGUGACUGUGUUUAAUGCGAGUUGAAUGAAUGCUGAGGGACCAGAACGGACACUUAAUCUAAAUUUAUUUUUCUGUUUACUAUUAAUCUGCCUUUCGGCCAUUUUUCAUUUUAAUACCAGCAAAGGACAUAAUGUGUUUCUACUAAGAAAAUAAAAAAGUAUUUUGCAUUAGCUCA